CAGAUACCAGGUGGCUGCAACUGUUUAUUAAAAACACAGCACUGUGCAAAAUCGUAAGAUGACGUAUACGGUGUGACGCCUGCCCGGUGCCGGAAGGUUAAUUGAUGGGGUUAGACUUCGGUCGAAGCUCUUGAUCGAAGCCCCGGUAAACGGCGGCCGUAACUAUAACGGUCCUAAGGUAGCGAAAUUCCUUGUCGGGUAAGUUCCGACCUGCACGAAUGGCGUAAUGAUGGCCACGCUGUCUCCACCCGAGACUCAGUGAAAUUGAAAUCGCUGUGAAGAUGCAGUGUACCCGCGGCUAGACGGAAAGACCCCGUGAACCUUUACUACAGCUUGGCACUGAACAUUGACCCUACAUGUGUAGGAUAGGUGGGAGGCUUUGAAGCACGUACGCCAGUAUGUGUGGAGCCGUCCUUGAAAUACCACCCUUGUAGUGUUGAUGUUCUAACGUCGACCCCUUAUCGGGGUUGCGGACAGUGCCUGGUGGGUAGUUUGACUGGGGCGGUCUCCUCCCAAAGAGUAACGGAGGAGCACGAAGGUGGGCUAAUCACGGUUGGACAUCGUGAGGUUAGUGCAAUGGCAUAAGCCCGCUUGACUGCGAGAAUGACAAUUCGAGCAGGUGCGAAAGCAGGUCAUAGUGAUCCGGUGGUUCUGAAUGGAAGGGCCAUCGCUCAACGGAUAAAAGGUACUCCGGGGAUAACAGGCUGAUACCGCCCAAGAGUUCAUAUCGACGGCGGUGUUUGGCACCUCGAUGUCGGCUCAUCACAUCCUGGGGCUGAAGUCGGUCCCAAGGGUAUGGCUGUUCGCCAUUUAAAGUGGUACGCGAGCUGGGUUUAGAACGUCGUGAGACAGUUCGGUCCCUAUCUGCCGUGGGCGUUGGAAGAUUGAAGGGGGCUGCUCCUAGUACGAGAGGACCGGAGUGGACGAACCUCUGGUGUUCGGGUUGUGUCGCCAGACGCAUUGCCCGGUAGCUAAGUUCGGAAUCGAUAACCGCUGAAAGCAUCUAAGCGGGAAGCGAGCCCUGAGAUGAGUCUUCCCUGAUACUUUAAGUAUCCUAAAGGGUUGUCGGAGACUACGACGUUGAUAGGUCAGGUGUGUAAGUGCUGUGAGGCAUUGAGCUAACUGAUACUAAUUGCCCGUGAGGCUUAACCAU
rnacentral:rRNA from 1 species